ACCCACCGCAGUUUACUUCCUGUGUUGACUAGCGGAGCUCCGCCAUUGUUACUAUAAAAGAGCAAGCUAUCGGAGAACAAGAGAGUGAGCCUGCAGCCUGAUGUCUUAUGUCUAAUGUCUGGGCAAAGUCUUCAGAUGCAAACUUCCAGCUCCGCUCAGGUGACCUGAGGAAGCUCAGGUGUCCCUGGACCCAUCAGAGGACAGAGACAGCUGCAGCAUCAGGACAGUCUGGGUAUCCAAAGGAAGACUGAUAAAGAUGAACACUGACUGCAGAGCUCCAUUACCAGCUCACACUUCAGUAUACUAGAAACCUAAGAUACCUUGAUGGAGGACAUGAUCUGCACAGUUUACAUAAAAGUUAUAGCUUUGUUACUUACAACAUGUGUAACUGGAAUAUGAAUGAAACAUAAAUAAAGUGUUUUACUUUUUAGAA